GUAGGGUGUUGUAGUGGGUUUUAAAUAGCUGGGCUUGUAACCCAAUGGUUGCAGGUUCAAAUCCAUGCUCCUCA